CACACACACUCUCAUUAACGCAAACACAUCCAUACACACACAUACACAUGCACAGAGGUCAAGCCUCAAAAUGGAGAAACGUGGCAUGUGUGCGCAGAGAGAGGUCACACUGGUAUGGCAGCUGCUUGCAUUGCCAUGUACCCUGUGAGAGAAAAGCCCCAGCUCGCUCAACCUAUCCUCACAAGACAUGCUCUCCAAUCAAGGUAGCAUCCUGAGUCUGUUGUUGCCCCAAAGCUGGAGCUGGAGGCACGUUUAAUCUUCAACCGACUGGCAAUGUUUAACAUCUGAUACAACAGCUGGCACAUCUGACAGCGUAGCACACCCUCAGUACUGCUCUCAAUACCGAACACAGAGAUAUCUGAAUUAAAAAAUGAGUUUAACAACAGGAAUUCAGAACGUCAGUAAAUUGCUACUUGCAUAUUAUGACACAGAAGGAGGACAUUCAGCCUAUAAAGUCCUUGGGCCUCUCAUACGUUAAAGGUGCACUCUUGAUCUCCCAAUCUACCUCAUCAUGGCCCUUGCACUUUAUUUGUUUUUCUGCACUGCACUUUCUCUGUAACUGCAAUACCAUGUUCUGCAUUCUGUUUUCUUUUUACUACCUCAAUGUACUUAUGUGUGGCAUGAUCUGUAUGGAUGGCACAGAAGACAAAGUUUUUCACUGUAUCUCGGUACAUGUGAUCCCAUUGUCUUUCCUCCUCUACCCCUGCACGUUAUUCUCUCUCACAUGCCCCUCAACUCUCCUUUGAUUGCACACUUAUACUAAGGGACAAUUUACAGCAACCAAUUAACCACCAAUACAUCUUUGGGAUGUGGGAGGAGACCCACGUGGUCACAGGGAGGCUGUGCAAACUCCACACAGACAGCGCCGGAGGUCAGGAUUGUUCCUGGAUCCCUGCGACCAAAUCAAUUGCCAAAUCAAUACAUGUUGCUCAGUAUCCCAGCAUAUCAAUCAGUGCCUCAAUAUGUCUAUCAAUUUUUCAGUAUAUCAGUCAAUGCCUCACUGUGUUACUCAAAUGGUUUUGCAUAUCAAUUAGUGCUUUAGCAUGUUUGUCAGUCUUUCCACAUGUCAGUCAAUUCCCCGGUUGUCAAUCAGUGACUCAGCAUGUCAAUGAUUGCUUUUUAUGUUAAACUCUCUCAGCACGUCAAUUAAUGUGUCAUCAUGACUCUCGGUGAUUCUGCAGUUCAAUAGAUGCCUCAGCAUUUCAGCCAGUGCCUCUGAAUGUCAGUCAGUAUCUC